UACGGGGGGGCAAGCGUUGUUCGGAAUUACUGGGCGUAAAGGCUCGUAGGCGGCCAACUAAGUCGGAUGUGAAAUCCCCAAGCUUAACUUGGGAACUGCAUCCGAUACUGGAUGGCUUGAAUCCGGGAGAGGGAUGCAGAAUUCCAGGUGUAGCGGUGAAAUGCGCAGAUAUACAGGAGGAACACCGGUGGCGAAGGCGGGUCUCUGGGCCGAUACUGACGCUGGAGGAGCGAAAGCGUUGGGGAGCGAACAGGAUUAGAAACCCCU
rnacentral:rRNA from 1 species